rnacentral:rRNA from 1 species
AUUGAACGCUGGCGGCAGGCCUAACACAUGCAAGUCGAGCGAGCGGCGGACGGGUGAGUAAUGUAUGGGGACUGCCCGAUAGAGGGGGAUAACUACUGGAAACGGUGGCUAAUACCGCAUACUAUCGGCUAACCAAGAUGGGAUUAGCUAGUAGGUGGGGUAAAGGCUCACCUAGGCGACGAUCUAUAGCUGGUCUGAGAGGAUGAUCAGCCCUACUGGGACGUAGACACGGCCCAGACUCCUACGGAGGCAUCAGUGGGGAAUAUUGCGCAAUGGGCGCAAGCCUGAUGCAGCCAUGCCGCGUGUAUGAGGAAGGCCUUAGGGUUGUAAAGUACUUUCAGCGUGGAGGCGUUACCCGCAGAAGAAGCACCGGCUAACUCCGUGCCAGCAGCCGCGGUAAUUC